AGGACGAACGCUGGCGGCGUGCCUAAUACAUGCAAGUCGAGCGGACAGAUGGGAGCUUGCUCCCUGAUGUUAGCGGCGGACGGGUGAGUAACACGUGGGUAACCUGCCUGUAAGACUGGGAUAACUCCGGGAAACCGGGGCUAAUACCGGAUGCUUGAUUGAACCGCAUGGUUCAAUUAUAAAAGGUGGCUUUUAGCUACCACUUACAGAUGGACCCGCGGCGCAUUAGCUAGUUGGUGAGGUAACGGCUCACCAAGGCAACGAUGCGUAGCCGACCUGAGAGGGUGAUCGGCCACACUGGGACUGAGACACGGCCCAGACUCCUACGGGAGGCAGCAGUAGGGAAUCUUCCGCAAUGGACGAAAGUCUGACGGAGCAACGCCGCGUGAGUGAUGAAGGUUUUCGGAUCGUAAAACUCUGUUGUUAGGGAAGAACAAGUACCGUUCGAAUAGGGCGGUACCUUGACGGUACCUAACCAGAAAGCCACGGCUAACUACGUGCCAGCAGCCGCGGUAAUACGUAGGUGGCAAGCGUUGUCCGGAAUUAUUGGGCGUAAAGCGCGCGCAGGCGGUUUCUUAAGUCUGAUGUGAAAGCCCCCGGCUCAACCGGGGAGGGUCAUUGGAAACUGGGGAACUUGAGUGCAGAAGAGGAGAGUGGAAUUCCACGUGUAGCGGUGAAAUGCGUAGAGAUGUGGAGGAACACCAGUGGCGAAGGCGACUCUCUGGUCUGUAACUGACG
rnacentral:rRNA from 2 species